UAUAAGCCCCUCUGUUAACUUUUGUUCAAGCCUGUCUAAAUCUUUUAUCAGUCUAGAAAGAUGUUGGAGAAAAGACAUCAUCCUCUUCUAUAAUCUCCAUCUGUAAUUGGACUAACAACUGGACCAGUCAAUGCAGGCAAUUUACUCUCCAUUCGACCUUGCAGGUCACACCAUGGUCUCAAGAGGGAAAAUGAGUGCUCUAUGGAUUGAACAGAAAAAGGUGAAUCAAAACUCCAACAUCUGUAUGAGGGUCUGGAUGGAUAAAGGAUGCCCACUGGAGCUGGAAAUGAUGGAUCAGGUGGAUCCACACUUGAACCAUCUGUAUGAUGAUCUGCACCCACUGGAUCUGUAAAUGGUGGUGCAGAAAGACACAGCACAUCAUUAUAUCGUUGGCUCCGCCCACUGGUGUUCAGUCUAAAGUAGUAGUUGUUGACAAUCAUAAAGUUGUAAUAACAGUAAGAUUGUGAUGUCAGACAAACAUUGUGCUGUUGCUGGCUGUGGGAAAUUAGUGUCUUUGUAAGGGUCGCAAAUAAUUUGAAAAUAUUUAUGUUUCUAAAUAUGCCCCCCUACCAUGAACUAAACUGGACUGUUGCAGAGACCAAGUGUAGUAGGGUACACUACUAUGCAGGUGACAUUCUUUUGUUUAUUGAAGCUAUGACAAAUAAUUUGUCUGUUUAGUUAAUGUUUUAUACAGUGUAACUGUACCUAAACAUUGUUCCUUGAGGUCCUCUGCUAUUUACAUUUUGUAUGUCUUCCUUAUUUAACACACCUUAUUCAAAUCAUCAGCUCAUUAGUAGAGAUCUUCAUGAACUGAACUGAGGCUGUGUCCAAAUGUUCACACUUGUUGUCUUUGCACUAGACUACUUACAUUACGGGUUUUUUUUUUUUUGUAUUUGGCCUAAGUAUUCUAGUGGGCGUGAAGAUCCCAAGCGUGCAUGUAGAAUUAUUCAUCCGAUGGGACACACUUAGCAUGGGUAAAAAUUUCAAUCCAGGUAGUGCCAGCAAUUUGCACCAAAACGUAUUUGUGUUUUAUUUACUACUUUUAAUUUAUAUUUAACAUUUUUAAGUUUUUCUGUAAAUAAAAUGAACACUCUGAAAUGAACAUUUGCUUAUAUCAAACUUUUAGAUGCAGAAUUCUUUGCUCCUGUAAAA